UCCGCUCUGUGCCAGCCCGACGGCUGCUAUAACGAGAGUGCGUGCGCUGGGCGCGGGAGCCGCCGGUAACAGGAGCCGCCGGACCCCGGCGAGGAGCUGACUCUGUCUUUUCGGCUCUGCCCCGUGUAUAUUUAUCUGGGUCUCACCACACCUUAAAGAGGUCACCUGAGCUCCUGCCUGAGUCUCGAAGAGUGAGGACUGAGAUCUGAAGGUGAAGCACCUCAUGAACCUGCUGCAGAGCUGAGCUUGCCUAUCCUGGCUCCAGAGCAGAGGGGCUCCAGCCUUUGGAGCAUCUCCAUGGCCCCCUCUGGACUUGCUCCAGCAGCUCUAUGUCCUUGUUAUGUUGGAAGCCCAAGAGCUAGAGGCACCUCUGCAGGUGGGGUCUCACCAGAGUGGAAUAGAGUGGCAGAAUCACCCCCCUCAACCUGCUGGCCUUCAGCCCUCUCCCAUCUCUGCCCUUCCUGGGAAUGGCUGCAGACACACCAGCCAGCCAUGGAGCGGGGGGUGUGGGCUGUGCCUCCAGCUGCUCCAUCAUCCUGGCUCUGAGCAUGGAGGUGACACUUCUCCCCAGCAGCAGAUUCUCCCCUCGGCAGCUCUUCUCCGGGGCUGCUUGCCCUGACCAGGGAUGGGGAUUUUCCCAGCUGGAGUUCCUCGGGGUACAAGAUAAGGAGGUGAACUGCAAUUGCAGUGUCAGCUGAGGGGCUGUGAUUCACCUGGCUGAUGUCACCCCAGGGCUGGUUAUACCCCGGGGCUGUGUGCUGCCUGAUGGACUUCUUCUGGGAAAAGCUACUCAGUCACUCAGCUGCUGAGAAGCAAAUCCUGAUGAUUCAGUGUUGCUGUAUAUGACUUAGAUGAGGUGAAUUCUUGUUCUGCACUUAAAUCCAGAGGGGCAGGUGCUCAGCUGCUGAAUCACAUCUGCCCGUGAGCAGAUCAAUCCCCUCAGGGCAGGAGAGCCGUGGUAUUUACACCGUGGUUUACAAACCCUUAAUGCCUCCGUGCAGCCUCUCGGGUGAUUGCCCACAUUAUGCUCAGUGCCUGCCAGUCCCUUCCCAAUGCAAACACCUAAUUAAUUCCCGUGCUUUUAAGGAAAUGAAGCCAUACAGAAAUAUGCCACCGGUAACAAAUUAUGUGGUACCAAUGCCACCGAUUAAUGCUGCAGGAAAUAAUACUCUAUUUCAGAUGCUGAAUGGUUUUUUUUUUUUGUUCUAAAUUAAUUUGUCAUCAUACAAUAAAUCACAGAAUGAAUCAUAAAACGGUUUGGGUUGGAAAGGACCUCAAAGAUCACUCAGUUCCAACCCCCCUGCCAUAGGCAGGGACAAAAAUACCAUCCUGCCUGGAAGUUGCUAAAUUAACAUGCAGACAUUGUCCAAAGGGCUAGAAGGGAAUUUUAUUUUUUCCCCUCUUAUUUUCAUUAUCUGAGAGCAAAUAAGUGUAUAAGUCUGCAGUACCAUGGAUGGCUGUCCCAGUGCUCCCAGCCUCCAGCACACCUUCCAUCCCAGUGCUCCCAUCUUGCCUCUCCAGGAAGCUGAUGGAUACUGCAGGAUUUCUAAAAACCAGCAGCUGCCAAGACACCAUCAGUCCCUGCUGGAAUUGUGAUUACCUCCUUGCCCAGGUGAUGCAGAAGCUUCGGAUGUUUCCCAUGCAGGGCCAUCAGAAGUGAUCUCAGGACAUCAGCCAGGGAAGACCAUUAAUGCCAGGGGCAAAUGAGGCUGAGAACAGAGACUGUUGGGUGUCCAGCUAAUCAGCAGGAGGGGAGAGCUGGCUGGGUACAACGGCUCUUCAGCAGGGGCUCCUGCUUCCACAGCUCCAGGUGGUGUGGGCAGGGCUGCAGCUGAGGGCAGGUUACAUCCCCGGACACUGGGCACAUCAGCACGUUCUGCUGGUUCAAAUGCAGAAGAGCUCAGUUGAGAAAAUGUGAAAUGAAGCCUGUUACUGGUCUAAACCCAGCUCUGAAAAUGAAAGUAACCACUUCUACAAGUUUAAAACCGGUGCCAUGUAGCAGCUCGGUGAGUCUACUCUCACCCAGAAGGACACUGGGUGUAUUGCUAGUGGGCUCUCAGCAGCUGGGAUGUCUGGAAGGAGCAGCAGAGCAGCAUCGAGAUGCUUCACCUGCCACCCAAACCCCACUGGGGGAUCUCCCAGGCUGUGGAGGAUGAUAGCUAGCCAGAGAAAUCCAUUCCGGGGCUCUUUGGGAUCGAUAAGCAGUUAAGGGAGCGGCGGGAAGAUGACAUUGCCUGUCUUUGCGCGCACACACCGCAGAGGGGCCGGGCUCUUAAAGGGCAGCGCUCGGGCUCGGAGCCAUCGGCUUUAGAAUGGGGUGGUUCCUGCUGGAAUUUUGGACACUUGGUGAGGGAAGAGCCGGUGGGACUGCAACAGGAGCUGGACCAAGCUGCUGCCCCUCCAGCCCCAAACCCAACUGAGAUUCAGAACAGACCAGGAAAAACCGAAUUGUGAAGCAAACACUGUUGUGAUUCUGCUUAGUGAUAUGUGGGGUUCCACCUGGCACUGCUCCCCUUAGGCACACACACCUUCCUCACUCCAGUAAUGCAGGAUGCUGGAGUCUGUGGGUGAGACCAAACUCCCACCAGCCUCAGGAAGAGUUAGCAAACCCUUCUAUCCUCUGAACUGUCUUUUUGGAAAGAGGAAAGUUCUCGCUGAUGGUUUUGGAGCAGAUGCACCCAGUGGCACAGUUUGCCAGCAAACAUUUGGGAAGGUCGAGGGUCAAGUCACGGUGUAAAAGGUGAUAUAUUACAUUUCUUUUAGUGACCAUGUGAAAAAAAUGGCCCAGCUCACAAUCACUUUGGAAGGACAGAGGGAUGUGAGGCUCACCAGAGCUGUUAUUUCCAGUGGCUGAUCUGCUCGGCCUUGUUUAAUCCAUCGUCCUUGAGCCAAUCUGCUGAAGUGGCACUGAGUGCACCCCGAUGCAAAGCACAGGCUCACAAAGCUGGGGCUGGACGAGGCAUCUGGUGCACCAAGGCACCACCACCUUCUGCCUCAAGGUUUUCCAGCAGGUAGGUGUGUGGCCCAGUCUCAGUAAUGCUAAUUCUAAUGAGUUUUUUUUAGGGGAAGGUGGGGUAAGCCCUUGCAAAGUACUUGUAGAUCUGUGCUGUUCAAGCUGAACAAGCUUAAUGGCAGAGUUGGAAACACAAGUCAGGACUUGGCUGUUUUUGUGGGGUUUUUUUGUUUGUUUGUUUUGUUUGUUUUUAUUUUUUUUAUUUUUUUUUUUUUUCUGAAGUGAUAUUCUAUGUGUUUGAGCAAGUAGUGCCACGAUUCUCCAAAAAAUGUGGAAGUGGGGAGUAACCCACAAAGUGUAGGAGCAGAAAUUCCCUCAGACAUCCCCCCUACUCUGACCUGGCUAAAACGAACUGACAGGUUCUAAAACUGUGGGGUAGGGAGUGGGGAUGGAUGAAAACGUGCUUUGUUUCCCCAAGGAGGCUGACUGCAAAACCUGUCUCGGAAAAAGAAAGUACAUGCUUUGCCCUUUGCCACAGGGAAUGUUUUCCCUCUUGUGGUAUCCAUUAAAAUGAAACUUUAACUGUUUAAAAUGAUCCUGCCCUUACCUCUGUGGCCUUAUUUAGAUCUAGACGCAUCCCGUCCUCCCUCCCUGCCCAUGCCAGCCCUGUCACAGCGUUAUGGAGUGUUGGGAUGUUGCACAUGUACAGGUGGUGCUUCCAAAAGCAUCCGUGUGGAUGGACGCUUGGAUCCAGGCUGUCAACGAGGACAGCACUGUCCAUCCCAUGGGAGCAUCGGGCUACCUUCCCUAGAAUAUAACCCCUUCACAGCAUCAUCCUCCAUCACCCUCCGGCCAAAAUCCCUUCUUUGCCCUCGUUCCUCCUCUUCUGUGGCUUCAGGAUUCUGGUUUGUUUUUUUUUUUUUUUCCCCAGAAAAAACAAAUCCCUGAGCUUGGAAGCAUUGCAUGGACAUGUGAGCUGGGGGAGGGAUGGGGAUGGCAGCUUUCUCCCUGCCCUUGGCCGCACCAUCAAAGUGCUGUGGGCACUGAAAAGCCUGGGCAGGGGUCUUGCUGAGCUCUGCAGCUGUGCAGGAAUUGCUCUCCAAAUUCGAGAUGUUCUCUGUAUUUAUUUUUCCGUCUGGGUCCGUUUGCUGACAGCCAACAACCCGUGGCUUCGGGCAGCCAGUGCCUGCGCUACAUAUUUUUGUUCAUCCGUCCCUCCCUGCCAAGAGCUGGAGUCAGACAACUGGCUCCGGCUGGUGCCAGCUCUGGUUGCUCACACAGGGAUUAGCACGUAAACUGCUUUGGUCCCCCUGCGGAGGCCGAGCGUGGCCUUCUCUCUUACCCUCCCGCUGCAGUUGCCUCUGUGAAAGAUGUCUCUGACUUUGCUCUUGACUUUCUGCAAGAGGUUGUUGUAAGAAAAGGAUUUUUCCUGGUUUUUUCGGGUGUCUCUGCACCCUGGGUGAAGGUGGGAGAGCAUGAGUGCCUCGUGGUCCACCAUGUCUCAGGCUGCUCCUGUGCUCGACCCUUGGGCUGGACACCAAGAGGGAUUAAGGGGAAGUGUUGGACCUGGGGAUCUCCAGGAAACCAAGAAGUAAUCUCCUAGUGCUGGGAGAC